GUCCCAGUUCGGAUUGUAGUCUGCAACCCGACUACAUGAAGCCGGAAUCGCUAGUAAUCGCGGAUCAGAAUGCCGCGGUGAAUACGUUCCCGGGUCUUGUACACACCGCCCGUCACACCAUGGGAGUCGGAAAUGCCCGAAGCCGGUGACCCAACCCGAAAGGGAGGGAGCCGUCGAAGGCAGGUCGGAUGACUGGGGUGAAGUCGUAACAAGGUAAC
rnacentral:rRNA from 1 species